rnacentral:rRNA from 1 species
UACGUAGGUCCCGAGCGUUGUCCGGAUUUAUUAGGCGUAAAGCGAGCGCAGGUGGUUUAUUAAGUCUGGUGUAAAAGGCAGUGGCUCAACCAUUGUAUGCAUUGGAAACUGGUAGACUUGAGUGCAGGAGAGGAGAGUGGAAUUCCAUGUGUAGCGGUGAAAUGCGUAGAUAUUAGGAGGAACACCAGUGGCGAAGGCGGCUUACUGGACUGUAACUGACGUUGAGGCUCGAAAGCGUGGGGAGCAAACAGG